UCCUUAUCACCGUACAACACACGGAAAAUGGCAGCCCUACUAUACUCGGGCGACCAAUGCUUGCCAACUCGCGCACUGACACGCACUACUUGACAGGGCUCCAGCGGAAAUAACGCGGAGCAAGUGUCCCGCGCGGCCGCGACAACCUCGGCGCUCACUUCCGGCGGUCAGUGGGGUCACGAGGAACAACGGUCAUGCACUACCGUCGGCCGAGUCCACGUCAAAUUCGGGGAAGAAAACGUUCGCCAAUACGAAACCGUUGUUUACGACGCGACACCGCGUACGUUCUGCAAUUGGCCCCGCAUCGCGUUGGCAUCACUGUAUGCAGUUGACUGUCGGGCGCGAGCGACUGUUGGCUUCGCUGCGAGAUGGCGAUAAGCGGCAACUUCAGGCGACGCGCCACGUCGGUAGAUCAGUUCGCAGCUGCGCCCGUCUUCCGUUACCGUAGCGAUUUUCUCGAUCGACUGAGCGACUCCGAACAGCUGAGUCAUGAGUGUGUCCUGUGAAUUCGAGGAGUUUCGACGGAAGGAAACUUGAGAGCGGCUACGGUCCGUUUCUAUCAAUAUAGAUUAACUUUAAUCACGGUUUAACUUGUUCGUUAUCUUAUUCUAAAAUCUUAUUUUAAAAAUUAACCUCACAAAAGAAAUUUCGUGGAACGGAUUUUCCGCAUAAAUCGAGAUUGCAUGCAGUUUUAACUAAUUUAUUGUUGCGCAUCAGUGUCUCAGGAGGCCGUCAGCUGAAAAUUGUAGAAGCAGAUUGUGGGAAACGACGACGUGAGUAUCGAGACAAGGGAGAGAAAGGUAAGGGAGGACCACAAUAUCACAACGAUAAAUCCAUCGGGAGUUGAUCAGCCGAGUCUGCACCCAGUGCACGUAUUCUUGGCAUAUCCACUUGGCGUGACCAGGAAGGGACGCCAUCUUGAGGGUUUCCUCGCUCCACCUGCGAGGGUGAUUCUUUAUUGUUUCAAUAAGCACGGCACAGGUCCAGCCUUAUUAACGAAAUAAACCUCUUUUAACGGCGCUGCCGCGCUCCGCUUCUCGCUCUUCCUCCUCUUCUUCCUUUUUCUUUUCUUUUCGCUUCUUCCUGGUUUCUAUACCGCUCGCAAAAAACGCACGGGAGUCAAGUAAGCCUGCGGGAGAGGAAAAAGCUCCUUGGCGAAGACGAGAGAGAUUCGGCAAGGAUAAGAGAGGAGCGGAAAGGGACCGAGGGAUUCUUGAAAGAGUUCUCUUUCAGAGGAGUCCAAAGAGAGAAUCGAUAGGUUUUUCCGCGGGUUUCCAUGGAGACCGCGAGGCGAAUCGGACUGUACACGCGAUAAGCGACGAAGACGUGGAAAGAGCAUCGCCGCAGUGGCGUAAGCGCCAUCCCCUUUUUCGUUUCUCGCUGCCUUUUCCUGUCGACGAGAUUACAUAAGUUCCCUCCUGCGCCGUGCGCGCACAAUAAGACCGUUUCGCGUCACAAACGUAAUGCCACGAAUGAAUGAAUAAAUGUAACUCAACUUAGAAAUGCCAUCGAUGACAUUUUCCGCGAAACCAUCUUUAACUUACAUACAUCUUUGUUCACUAUGUUUACAUCAUGAGUAAAAUUGAUUUAAUCUAAAUCUUGAUGUAGCAACAUUUUAUCUAAUCUUAUUCUCAUGAUUGCGGCAAAAGUUUUGUUUCGUAAAAGAUACAAUUUGUUAAAUGUCUUUAAUAUGGCGACCUUACACGAUCAAUAAUACUAUCAGUAUCCCAAUAAAUACUGACAAUUUCAUUGAUUGUGUGCUAAAUAUUGAUGGAUUGACGUGGAAUGGUCCAUCUAUAAUAGAUGUCUACAAUAAGCCAUAAGCAAUUAACCGAUCACAGUCGAGUGAGAGGAGAAUAAUUAACUAGGAUGAAUAUACCAGAAUAUUGAUGGUGAUCUAAAGUUUUUUAUUCUCAAGCCUCAAUAUCAUCGUGUGAUAGAGAUAUUGACAGUGUUAAUGAUUUUGUGAAGAAGACGUGUUAAUAUUUUCGUCAGUACAGUUUUCCACAAUGACGAAGUCGCAGAAAUCGUAAAAAUAAUUUUAAAAAUAUUGAUACAUACAUACUAUCAGUAUCAUCACUGGUUUAAUAUUACUAAUCAAUAUAAACCGUGUAAGAUUCUUAACACACUUUUACGUUAACUCUAAUUGCGACGUCAGCCAAUGGUAACAAAAAAUGUUUUUACAAAAACAGAAAAUGGCGGCUGUAACUGACUUGGAAGAAAUUUUGCAACUGGAGAGGAAUCGGUUAAAGGGUCCACCUGUCAGUUCCUCCCACUUUUCCUUUCUUCUCGGUCCGUUUCUCUGUUGUAACAGAGUGUGCGGAUCCUUGGCACCGAACGACGUCGUCCGGUUCUCUUAACUGCCUUUACUUGCCGCGAUCGCCAUUAGGUUGAGUACGAUUGUGUUGGAGGCAUCGCCAGAGGUCGGCCAUUUUGCUAAGAUCGUUUCUCAUCUUUUACGAUGUUCGACACACCGUCGCUUAGCCGCCGCCGUCGCCGCGUGUCGUUUCAGCCCCGCGAGAAACAAUUGAAUGUCCCCGAGUUUAUUUUCGGAAGCCUUAAUUUAAUUUUCGUCCCGCUGAGGGAGCGCGGAAGAAAGAUGAAGAAGGAGAAAGAGAGAAAACCCAUAGGAAAAGAGGGUAAAGGAGGAAUGAAACGAGUGACCGUAGUUCAGAGACGAGUCUUUUGUUUCCUACCGCGCUUGUGCUUGCAAUGGUCUUUUUAAGUCACGUCGACCUUCCUGAAGAGAAGAUGCUGAUGUCCACUAAUGCGACUUGUCCGAUAAAUUGUAAAACUAACAUAUUUUAAAGAAAUGUAUAUUUUACAUGAGUUCUAUAUAAGGCACAUACAUUAAUGAUUCAAUUCCUA